rnacentral:misc_RNA from 1 species
GCAAACUUGGUCAUUUAGAGGAAGUAAAAGUCGUAACAAGGUCUCCGUUGGUGAACCAGCGGAGGGAUCAUUACAGAGUUCUUUGCAACUCCCAACCCUGUGAACCGUACCAAUUUUUGUUGUUGCUUCUGGCAGGCGGCCCCCCGGGCCCCCCUGCCAGCGGUGACCUGCUCCAACCUUCUUUUGUAUCUUUUACCGUCUGAGCUUCUAAAGAAAAAAAAUACAUCAAAACUUUCAACAACGGAUCUCUUGGCUCUGGCAUCGAUGAAGAACGCAGC